UACGAAGGGGGCUAGCGUUGCUCGGAAUUACUGGGCGUAAAGGGCGCGUAGGCGGACAGUUUAGUCAGAGGUGAAAGCCCAGGGCUCAACCUUGGAAUUGCCUUUGAUACUGGCUGUCCUGAGUUCGGGAGAGGUGAGUGGAAUGCCGAGUGUAGAGGUGAAAUUCGUAGAUAUUCGGCGGAACACCAAUUGCGAAGGCAGCUUACUAAGCUAUGAUUGACGCUGAGGCACGAAAGCGUGGGGAUCAAACAGG
rnacentral:rRNA from 1 species